GGGUGUCAUUACAAAAUAAGCAGCAAAGAAACCCCAGGCACCUCCCAGCCCGCCCCGCUGCAGAUCCAGGGGCUAGACCAGCGGUUUUCAGUUCCAGACAGGGUCCCGUUGCGGGUUGCGGUGGGGGGGGAUGGGGGUGCUGUAGAGAGACCCUACAGAUGGCCCUAGAGAUGGGCAUGCAAGCAUUGGGCCAAAAUAAGGGUCUGGUGAGUGGAGCUCUGACAGGGGCCCCACUCCUCUCAGAGGUAAACAGAGUCAAGAGCACCAGAGACCACUUACAGAGGCACCAGCCGGCCCGGGGGACCCAGGAGUGCCAGGCUCGCCGCGAGGACCUUGAGCGCCUUCGGGACCUCGGGCGCCAGUGGGGCCAGCUUCCCCCUGGGUAGAGACAGACAGGGAUGGAACAAGAAGAUGACAGGGCACCCCGAGGCCCGCGGACCUGCAGGCAGGGCCGAGCCUCCUCAGCUUCCUCCUCCCAACGUUCUCGGUUCACUUCUGUAAUUAUUCUUUCUAAAGCCCGAAGCCCCUGGAUGAAAACUGUCCCCACUGCCAGUGUCCCGAGCCUGGCUUCCCAAAGCAAAGCAAGUAUCCGACUAUAUACGUGCUGAGAAGCAGGGGACUCUUUGACCUCCCUGGCUAUCCCUCC